ACAUUCGUUGCUCUUCAUCCCGAAUAAAUCUUUCACCUUUUACUUAAGAUGUCUGUGGAGAGAAACAAUUAUGAGUUUCAUAUAAUUUUUUUCAUAUCAUGGCAAAAGCUGAAUU